rnacentral:rRNA from 1 species
GCAAGUCGAACGGAGAGCUAAUGACAGAGGAUUCGUCCAAUGGAAUUAGUUUCUUAGUGGCGGACGGGUGAGUAACGCGUGAGGAACCUGCCUCGGAGUGGGGAAUAACACAGUGAAAAUUGUGCUAAUACCGCAUGAUGCAGUUGAGUCGCAUGGCUCUGACUGCCAAAGAUUUAUCGCUCUGAGAUGGCCUCGCGUCUGAUUAGAUAGUUGGUAGGGUAACGGCCUACCAAGUCUGCGAUCAGUAGCCGGACUGAGAGGUCGAACGGCCACAUUGGAACUGAGAUACGGUCCAGACUCCUACGGGAGGCAGCAGUGGGGAAUAUUGGGCAAUGGGCGAAAGCCUGACCCAGCGACGCCGCGUGAGGGAAGAAGGUCUUCGGAUUGUAAACCUUUGUCAACAGGGACGAAAACAAUGACGGUACCUGUGGAGGAAGCCACGGCUAACUACGUGCCAGCAGCCGCGGUAAUACGUAGGUGGCAAGCGUUGUCCGGAUUUACUGGGUGUAAAGGGCGUGUAGCCGGGAGGGCAAGUCAGAUGUGAAAUCCACGGGCUCAACUCGUGAACUGCAUUUGAAACUACUCUUCUUGAGUAUCGGAGAGGCAAUCGGAAUUCCUAGUGUAGCGGAGAAAUGCGUAGA